rnacentral:lncRNA from 1 species
UCAUAAUCAAUAUGAAAAGAUUGACCUUCUUCUGGCGUGUUAAAUUCGGAUGGGUUUCCAUGGGUUAAUAUAUCUCCAAGUUCCUCGUCUUCUGGGCUAUCAACAUCUUCCUUUCCUUGAUUUCUUCGUACCGAUCUAUUCCAAUCUCUGAAACAUACUAAAACUUCCAAAGCAUUGCUUCCCAAUGAAUGGCGGGUGU